GACGAACGCUGGCGGCGUGCUUAACACAUGCAAGUCGAACGGAAAGGCCCUGCUUGCCGGGUACUCGAGUGGCGAACGGGUGAGUAACACGUGGGUGAUCUGCCCUGCACUUCGGGAUAAGCCUGGGAAACUGGGUCUAAUACCGGAUAGGAGCCAUUUUUAGUGUGAUGGUUGGAAAGUUUUUUCGGUGUAGGAUGAGCUCGCGGCCUAUCAGCUUGUUGGUGGGGUAAUGGCCUACCAAGGCGGCGACGGGUAGCCGGCCUGAGAGGGUGGACGGCCACAUUGGGACUGAGAUACGGCCCAGACUCCUACGGGAGGCAGCAGUGGGGAAUAUUGCACAAUGGGCGCAAGCCUGAUGCAGCGACGCCGCGUGGGGGAUGACGGCCUUAGGGUUGUAAACUCCUUUCGCUAGGGACGAAGCUUUUUGUGACGGUACCUAGAUAAGAAGCACCGGCUAACUACGUG
rnacentral:rRNA from 1 species